rnacentral:rRNA from 1 species
AUUGAACGCUGGCGGCAUGCUUUACACAUGCAAGUCGAACGGUAACAGCACUUCGGUGGCUGACGAGUGGCGAACGGGUGAGUAAUGUAUCGGAACGUGCCCAGUAGUGGGGGAUAACUACUCGAAAGAGUGGCUAAUACCGCAUGAGAUCUCUGGAUGAAAGCGGGGGACCGUAAGGCCUCGCGCUACUGGAGCGGCCGAUAUCAGAUUAGGUUGUUGGUGGGGUAAAGGCCUACCAAGCCUGCGAUCUGUAGCUGGUCUGAGAGGACGACCAGCCACACUGGGACUGAGACACGGCCCAGACUCCUACGGGAGGCAGCAGUGGGGAAUAUUGCGCAAUGGGGGCAACCCUGACGCAGCCAUGCCGCGUGUGUGAAGAAGGCCUUCGGGUUGUAAAGCACUUUCAGUGGGGAGGAAAGGGCGCUGGCUAAUAUCCAGUGCAGUUGACGCUACCCACAGAAGAAGCACCGGCUAAUUCCGUG